CCUUUGUUAUUCCGUAAUAGCUCAGAACGUUUAGCUCACAAAGGAGACAAGCAUCUACAAAAGAAAUUGCCAGUGCUCACAUGUGAAUCCUGCUCAAGCCUGCUUUCUUUGCCUUCUGAAACGGUUUCUUGAAGACCACAGCCACAUGAGGACAUUGAGGCAUAGACAGAUCCAGUAAUUUACCCCUUGCAACCAGCCAACAUUUUGAAAAGAGGGGAUUAAGAGAUUGAGAAACUCCUUGGAAGAGAAAAUCAGCUCUCAUAGGGAAAUUGGACUUUAAGUUGGCUGGAAUUGGUAUGCUAAGUUGUAAAGUUUUACAAUAAAGCUUUAAAGGGAGA